rnacentral:rRNA from 1 species
AGAGUUUGAUCCUGGCUCAGGAUCAACGCUGGCGGCGUGCCUAAUGCAUGCAAGUCGCACGGGUGUCCUUCGGGAUACCAGUGGCGAACGGCUGAGGAACACGUACGAACCUGCCCUGCGCUGGGGAAUAACUCCACGAAAGUGGUGCUAAUACCGCGUACGCUUGCGCAAGCAAGGAAAGCCGAAAGGCGGCGGAGGAGGGGCGUGCGGCCCAUCAGGUAGUUGGCGGGGUAAUGGCCCACCAAGCCGGUGACGGGUAGCUGGUCUGUGAGGACGAUCAGCCAGACUGGGACUGCGACACGGCCCAGACACCUACGGGUGGCAGCAGCAAGGAAUCUUCCACAAUGGGCGCAAGCCCGAUGGAGCAACGCCGCGUGCAGGAUGACGGCUUUCGGGUUGUAAACUGCUUUGAGGGGGGAGGAUAUAGACAGUACCCCCAAAACCAGCCCCGGCUAACUCUGUGCCAGCAGCCGCGGUAAGACAGAGGGGGCAAGCGUUGUCCGGAAUGACUGGGCGUACAGCGCGCGCAGGCGGUUAUGGACGUGCUGUGUGACAGCGCGGGGCUCAACCCCGCGUCGCCACGGUAGACGCCAUGACUGGAGUGGGUGAGAGGGAUGUGGAAUGCCCGGUGGAGCGGUGAAAUGCGUAGAGAUCGGGCGGAACACCAGUGGCGCAAGCGGCAUCCUGGCACCAAACUGACGCUGAGGCGCGAGAGCGUGGGGAGCAAACGGGAUUAGAUACCCCAGUAGUCC